UAGUCCUAGCCGUAAACGGUGUGCACUAGGUGUAGGAGGCAUCGACCCUUCCUGUGCCGCAGCUAACGCAUUAAGUGCACCGCCUGGGGAGUACGACCGCAAGGUUGAAACUCAAAGGAAUUGACGGGGGCCCGCACAUGUGGUGGAGCAUGUGGUUUAAUUCGAAGAUACGCGAAGAACCUUACCUAGCCUUGACAUAUAUUAGAACACUUUAGAGAUAGAGUGGUGCCUUCGGGAGCUUUUAUACAGGUGCUGCACGGCUGUCGUCAGCUCGUGUCGUGAGAUGUUGGGUUAAGUCCCGCAACGAGCGCAACCCUCGUCACUAGUUACUAACGGUUCGGCCGAGGACUCUAGUGAGACUGCCUUCGCAAGGAGGAGGAAGGUGAGGACGACGUCAAGUCAUCAUGGCCCUUACGGCUAGGGCAACACACGUGCUACAAUGGCCAGGACAAUGAGAAGCGAUACCGCGAGGUGGAGCAAAUCUAUAAACCUGGU
rnacentral:rRNA from 1 species